rnacentral:rRNA from 1 species
AGGAAGUACACAUAAUGUAAACCUAUUUAUUUUGGCGGCAUUCCACCUUAUUAGAGGAACUUGUUAUAUAAUCGAUAAUCCCCGAUUAAUUUCACUUCAAUUAUCACUUAUAUACCGCCAUCUAAAGAAUAAUUUCAAAAAUUAUACUCCUAAUAAAAAAUAAAAAGUUAGGUCAAGGUGUAGUUAAAUUCAAGAACUCAAUGAGUUACAUUAAAAAUAAUUUAAGGACUAAACCUCAAAACAUUUACAAAAAAGGAUUUAACAGUAAUUACUUCCAAUAAUAUUACCAAAUGAAACAGAAAAUGAAUGUGC